rnacentral:rRNA from 1 species
GCGAUCAUACCAUAACUAAUGCAUUGAAUCCCAUCUAAACUCUAGAGUUAAGUGUGCUUGGGUGAGAGUAGUACUAGGAUGGGUGACCUCUUGACAAGGAAGUCCUUGUGUUGCAACCC